CAUUUGUUUGUUCCUUUCUUAUUGAUUUUACAAUUUUGCUUCACACUGGCACAUUUUUUCUUUAUCAAAACAGGAGGGAGGAAGGAAU
rnacentral:ribozyme from 16 species